UACGUAGGGUGCGAGCGUUAAUCGGAAUUACUGGGCGUAAAGCGUGCGCAGGCGGUUUUGUAAGCCGGAUGUGAAAUCCCCGGGCUUAACCUGGGAAUGGCAUUCGGGACUGCAAGGCUGGAGUGCGGCAGAGGAGACUGGAAUUCCUGGUGUAGCAGUGAAAUGCGUAGAUAUCAGGAGGAACACCGAUGGCGAAGGCAGGUCUCUGGGACGUGACUGACGCUGAGACGCGAAAGCGUGGGGAGCAAACAGG
rnacentral:rRNA from 1 species